UACGUAGGGUGCGAGCGUUGUCCGGAAUUAUUGGGCGUAAAGGGCUCGUAGGCGGUCUGUCGCGUCGGGAGUGAAAACUCAGGGCUUAACCCUGAGCCUGCUCCCGAUACGGGCAGACUAGAGGUAUGCAGGGGAGAACGGAAUUCCUGGUGUAGCGGUGAAAUGCGCAGAUAUCAGGAGGAACACCGGUGGCGAAGGCGGUUCUCUGGGCAUGUCCUGACGCUGAGGAGCGAAAGUGUGGGGAGCGAACAGG
rnacentral:rRNA from 1 species